UCAAAUUCAUGUGCUUGUUUUGGCUAAAAUUGGAACAACACAGAGAAGAUUAGCAUGGCCCCUGUGCAAGGAUGACAUGAGAAUUUGUGAAGCAUUCCACAUUUCU
ensembl:snRNA U6 U6 spliceosomal RNA